CCUACGGGAGGCAGCAGUGGGGAAUAUUGGGCAAUGGGCGCAAGCCUGACCCAGCAACGCCGCGUGAAGGAAGAAGGCUUUAGGGUUUUUAAACUCUUUUGAUAGGGAAGAGUAGUAGACGGUACCUGACGAAUAAGCCACGGCUAACUACGUGCCAGCAGCCGCGGUAAUACGUAGGUGGCAAGCGUUGUCCGGAUUUACUGGGUGUAAAGGGCGUGUAGCCGGGUUGACAAGUCAGAUGUGAAAUCCUGCGGCUUAACCGGAGAACUGCAUUUGAAACUGGUGAUCUUGAGUACUGGAGAGGCAGACGGAAUUCCUAGUGUAGCGGUGAAAUGCGUAGAUAUUAAGAGGAACACCAGUGGCGAAGGCGGUCUGCUGGACAGCAACUGACGGUGAGGCGCGAAAGCGUGGGGAGCAAACAGGAUUAGAUACCCUUGUAGUC
rnacentral:rRNA from 1 species